AGAAACGCCUACCGCUGCUCGAUGUGCUCCAAGACCUUCAACCUGGCCACCAGCUUCAUGAGGCACCGCAGCAUCCACACCGGGGAGACACCCUACAGCUGCCUCCACUGUGGAAACACUUCCGCCUGCUCACCUUCCUCAAGGCUCAUCUGCAGACCAAAGCCUCACCUGAAGCAGAUUCAGCAGAGGCCGGCGGACAACGCCCACCUCUGACCUGCUAUCAUUUUUUUAUUCAUCUGGACAUCUGGACCAUAAACUACCUGUGAGACAGGUGGACAGUGUUAUAGAAGGUUGUCCUCCAGGAUUUCAUUUACCCUCAACCUUUACCAGCCUUCCAAGCCUGCUGCUGAGGAACACAAUGAUGCUGCCUCCACCAUGCUUCAUAUCAUGAUGCUGCCUCCACCGUGCUUCACAGUGGGGAUGUUGAUCUGAAGCUUCACUGCAGCUUCUUACAGACGACUGAUCGAUUGAUCAGCUUCAUGAAUCCAGAUGUUCUUCUCC